rfam:Aedes aegypti strain Liverpool supercont1.785 genomic scaffold, whole genome shotgun sequence.
CCAUCGGCCCUUAUCAGGGCCAUCAAAUUUGUGGAAAGAGUUGAAG